UACGUAGGGGGCAAGCGUUGUCCGGAUUUAUUGGGCGUAAAGAGCGUGUAGGCGGUCAGGUAGGUCGGUUGUGAAAACUGGAGGCUCAACCUUCAGAGGUCGACCGAAACCCCCUGGCUAGAGUCCGGGAGAGGAGAGUGGAAUUCCUGGUGUAGCAGUGAAAUGCGCAGAUAUCAGGAAGAACACCCGUGGCGAAAGCGGCUCUCUGGAACGGUACUGACGCUGAGACGCGAAAGCGUGGGGAGCGAACAGG
rnacentral:rRNA from 1 species